rfam:Arthrospira platensis NIES-39 DNA, nearly complete genome.
AGGAGCCGUGUGAUGGGAAACUAUCAAGCACGGUUUUGAAUGGGAGUUGGGGAAGGCGACUUCCCUUUCGACCCCUAC